rnacentral:pre_miRNA from 1 species
UCCGUGUGGAGGGACAGAGCACUCAGGGCGGAAGCCAGAGCGUGGCGCUCCACAUGGACA